rnacentral:lncRNA from 1 species
CCAGAAAUGAACACAUUUUGGAAACAAGAUCCUGAUAUAUGUUCCACACGAGAAAUGGAAUCAUUUAAACCUUCUUUGCCAAAACGGCCAAAGUCGAAAUUGGAUUCAUUAUUCACACAUGCAAAAAAGAAAAAAAACAUUUGACCCCCAGGAACUCCAUGAUUAUCUUCGUUCCAAAUGUGUGGAUCAGUGUGGGACAUGUGGAAGACAUCGGGGGUAAUACCAAAAGAACAAGUCCUGGAAAUAUUGAAACGUGCAACAAGACAAAUAAAGAGGUGUGAGGCACAAAUGCUUUUGUUUUAUAUUAAGUUCGGUACCUUUUUGGGACAAGUCAAAGCUUGGCACGAGGAAUUAUACGACAAAAAUGAAAUUCAAGAAUCAUGGCCUGUUGACUCGUUCAAGUACUAUACUACUAUCAACACAAUAUAAUGGUAGAGGACUAUGUAUAACAACGGAAAGAAACCACAAAAGCCAGGAAAAACGCCAUCAAAUUACAACCAAAAUCAACAAAUCCAGGCGAAACUUGAUUCAGCGAUUAAUAAUUUAGACACUUUUGAUAAAACCGACAACGUUGUCUCUUUCAGAACCGACAAUCCACCAUCGUAUCCAGUUGAAGAUUGUGACAACAAUACAAC